GUGAUUCUUGUCACGUUAGGCUCGAUCUGCUAUCGGAUUUCAGUAUAGCCCGGUAGGACUACUUUGCGCAUACGUGUAAAUCUCAUGAUGACGUAAUAACAGAUGCAUUUGAUUUGUGCAUUUCAAACGCGCGGAUGCAUUUGAUAAAUGUUUAUAACUUCUUAAUGUGUGAUUAUUAUUUUGUAAAAGUAAUAAUUAAUAAUAAUCUUGGAAAUAUAGAAAAAGACUAAUCAUUAAAGAAGAUAGUAAAUAUAAAUUAUCAAAUUCUUAUAAGAAGAAUUCUCGCAUUAAGAAGUAUCAAGGAACCUUAGAUAGUAAAUUCAGUAAACACACAUUAAAAAAUAUAACUUCCAAACAAUAUAAUAAUUCUUUAAAGAACUGUCUACAACAAAAUAAUAAAAAUAAAUAUAAUGGUAUUACCUGUAAUUUAACAAAUAAUAUGAUAGAGUAUGUGGAGUAUGAAAAUGAAUUAAAUAAGAAAUUAUUAGAACUUUAUACGAAAGAUGAAGAUUUUAUCAAAAAAUAUAUACAUAUAUCAUUAUAUAUAGCAACUGAGAAGAUUGAUUGUUCAAAUUUUGAAAAUACCGAUAAAAAAUAUCAACAAAUAAUUUUGCUAUGUAAGCAAGCAAUAUUGUGUUUGGUUGAACCAAGUGAAAAAGCUUAUGUACUUUGUACAAAUAAUUUGUCUGCUAUUAUACAAAAACAUUUAUCACAAGGAUGUAGAUACCAUUUUGAACCUUCAAGUGAUUCUACAGAGUACUAUAAUGCUUUAUUGGUUGUAAGUCAUUGGGCAAAACUUUUGGUAAAGCAUCAAAAUAUAACUAUGAUUAAUAUGAUUUGUGCUAUACUUGGUUGUGAAAUAAACAAAAUAUUAAUUUUAUCCUAUCCAGAAGAUGUUUUAUCGAAAAGAUGGUGAAUGAAGAAGCAGUAGAAAAUAAUAAAAAAACUCAACCUGUAUUCAAAAAUCCAUCCUUCCACCAACAAUUUCGGCCAAUAAGCAAUACUGGGAAGAAAAGAACUUGGAGAUCUCUUAAACAGGUUUUGGCUCAGGAACGUAGUUUACCAUGGCCUACUGAAGUAGUACAUUAUAGUGCUAUCAAUGCACCGCCAAGUUUUAAACCUGCAAAGAAGUAUUCUGAUAUAUCUGGUCUGCCUGUAAGUAGUAUACGAAAAAUAUUUUACUUUUGAUUUUUCAAUUAUGAAAUAUUUUAUCAGUUAAGUGCAUUAUUUAAAGAAUUAAUAUUUUAAAGAAUCCAGUUUCGUACAAUGUGUUAAUUAUAUUAUUAAGAUAAGAACACAGAUGUUAAUCACAUUUAUUUGCACAGGCACGGUAUACAGAUCCACAAACUAAGUUAUAUUAUGCAACUGCUGAAGAAUUUGCCACAGUUCGCAGUCUGCCAAUGGAUAUUACUGCCGGAUAUUUAGCAUUACGUGGUGCUUCUAGUAUCGUUGGUUAAGUAUUUUAAUU